rnacentral:lncRNA from 1 species
UUUAUCUAUAUAUGUUUUAUAUUUUAUUUGCAUUUUAAUUAUUUAUUUAUUUAUAUUUAAUUUCUGUUUUUGUUUUUUGUUUCAGUUUCAAUUUUUAUUUUUCGUUUUUACUUUUAUAAAAUUAUGCAAAUCAAAGAAACUAGGAGAAUCACAAGACAAAUGCUAUCCAGACCCCUCAAAGCCAAAAGACAAGCGAAGCCCAAAC